CGGCAGACAUAUACACAUCAGAGGCAGUCUGCAGAUGGGUGAGGCGCGGCCCCUGGCCUUGCUGGGCUGGAAGGAUGCUCUGGGAGGUCUGGUGUACAUGCGUUUUGACUAGGCAGGACUUGCACCCCACCUUCCAGACAGACAGUGCUUCCUCGCCCAGAACUUCAUUCUCUCACCAGACGUUUCCUGCAAGAUUUCCAGAUGCCAAGCACUGGGCGAGACACAGAAAGCAGCUUCAGAAUCAUCAUGAAGGUGUGAGAACCAGUACUUCUCCACCUCCCUGUGGGUGAUGGCAGUUCUAAGGCAAAAUGGUGAUGUCAAGAUUUCAAGACUUACUUCGCUUCAUGGUGAAAUACUGGCCUUGACACUGUUAUUAGAGUUUAAAAUCUUCAGAAUUCAUAAAAUUUUAAAAAUUAGUGAAACAAUACGUGCAGUACUUUUCAAAAGCAUGCAUUUAUAAGCCUCUUUCAAAACAUUAAGGAAUUGUGUAAAUUAUUCAAGAAUAAACAUUAAUAUAUAGAGCUAUUAUAGACUAGA
rnacentral:lncRNA from 1 species